rnacentral:rRNA from 1 species
UACGAGUGCUCCGAGCGUUAUCCGGAUUCAUUGGGCGUAAAGGGUGCGUAGGUGGCGCCGUAAGUCGGGUGUGAAAUUUACGGAGCUUAACUCCGGAAACUGCAUUCGAUACUGCGGUGCUUGAGGACUGGAGAGGAGACUGGAAUUCAUGGUGUAGCAGUGAAAUGCGUAGAGAUCAUGAGGAAGACCAGUGGCGAAGGCGGGUCUCUGGACAGUUCCUGACACUGAGGCACGAAGGCCAGGGGAGCAAACGGG